GUCCAGGUUGGUGUGUAGCAGGAUUGUAAAAUAAAUCAGGUUAAAAUCACAAAGCAGGAUAGUGGUAUAAUGCAGGUUGGUUUGUAGAUUUGUUCAGGUUGAAACUAAAGUAGCCUGAUCGAGUAGUCCAGGUUGAUAAUAAGAAGCUUGCUAGCAAUGAAGGUUGGCAAUGUAGAUCGGCUUGGAAUAAAGAGGUUUGGUAGAGAAGAUAUGGUUGAUAUCCAACAGGACAAGAACAAUGCAGGUAAGUUCACAGGAGCCAGGAAACAGAAGUAUUUUCAAAAAAACCAUUGACUUCAAUCUAAAGGCCCUAUCUUGAGCAGGGUGUAGCCUUUUGUAACUUAAGUGAUUAAUCCAGGCAGGUGAAAAUGAGUCUAGAAAAGUUAAGAGCUAAUGGUUAUGUAGGCCUCUAGUGGCAAAACAUAGUCAAGGCGGGAACAUAAUUAAAUGAAAGGGAAUAAAGUUCUGUUAUCAUGGUUUCAAACCUGACACACGGUCUGUAGUUCUGCACUCAGUGAAGCUGCAGACUAGAGGCUCUCCCAGGACAGACUGAUGGAGGGACCCGGCAGCAUACAGGGAAAGCCGCCUGGCCCCUCCUCUUGUUGGGUUCUCAUACACCUCUGCCGCCACUGCUGCAUAUAUAUGCCACCCCUGUUAAAGUGCUGCCUGGGGCCAUUAACCCAGUCCGUCCUAUGGACGGGCCGGCUCUGACUAGCCCCCAGCACACAAUUACAAAUGUCUUUGUAUGUGCAGUGUUUCAAGCUUAAACACUGACUCCUACCACCAUUACCACUUCAAAUAAGUAAUCAUGGUGGUGGGAGUAACCCUUUAAAUAUCU